rnacentral:tmRNA from 1 species
UCCCUUGCGAAAAGCCCCCCAAAGUCACUAUAUUAGCGGUGCCGGCUUGCCGGCUAUGGCGAUAAACGUUUGACGGAAUAAGCGUUGCGGACCCGGGGGCAGUGCCCGGC